GAAGAUGAUGAUAUGUAUUGUUGUCCGUCUUAGUUGCACCUUUGGAUGCACUAUGGUGAUUGACAUAGUAUCUAAUCC
rnacentral:snoRNA from 1 species